UCAAAAGGUAGAGCCCAAUGAAGGGUGGGCUGGAUUUAGUGAUUCAGUAUAUGAUUCAGAAUAUGGAGAAAGUGAUGGUGUAUCACUUAUGAUGCUAUGUCAUAAAAAGACAUUUUGACUUCAGCUUUGCUCUUUUGGAUCAGUUGCUCCAGGAAAGCCAGCUGCCAUUUUGUGAGGGUACAUCACACAGCUGUAUAGAGAGGCCCAAAGGGCAAAGAACUGAGGCCUCCUGCCAACAGCCAGGUCCAUUGUGAGUAAGCCGAGGUCGUUUCCAAACUACACGAUUCACCCCAGACUUGUUCAUCACACUACAAAAUAAGGAGAAGAUAUGCAGACCAGCUGACAAUAAGAUACGAUCUUCUUAUAAGUUAUUUUUCUUAUUAUUAAGGAGUAAUAUGAUAUCCAGAUUUAUACAUGAACCUCUUGUUAAGUUUACUAUGUUGAGUUUGAGUAGCAUGAUUCCAUUCCCCUAAACCUUAUGAAUGCUUAAUUUAUUUAUACUCUAACUAAACUGGCUUCAAGAUAAGAAACCUGGAGAUAAGACAGACAAUGGUGACCACCUCCAAUGGAGUGUCACCAUGAAAUGCCUCCAUCUAAGCAGCAGCCAGCCAGUUAACUUCUACCCCUGCUUAACCUCAAAGGAAUGAAGAAGCUAGAGAGGGAAUAGAUAAUGAAUGGAAUAAAGUCCUAAGGAAAGCAAAAUGAAGGCAUAAACCUUUUAAGUCAGAGAAAAAUCAAUCUUCUGAGCCAAAAAAGAGAUGAAUUUAGCAGAAAAGUUUCAAGCUCCCUUCUAAAGUAGAAGACAAGUUCAUCUGACAAGGGCAGGCUAGGAGAUUUGAGCAGCACUGUCCAACAGACCUUUGUGCAAUGAUGGAAAUGUUCAUUCUGCACUGUCCAAUAUAGAGCCACUAGCCAUGUGUGGCUACUGAGCAAUCCAAAUGUGGCUAAUGAAAAUGGGGGACUCAAUUUUUAAUUUUAUUUUAAUUACAUUUACAUUUAAAUUUAAACAGCCCCAUGUGGCUAGUGGCUACUGCACUGGACAGUGCAGGGGAGGAAUGAAACAAGUACAGAAUAAUCAGAAAAUGUUGUAGAAGUUAAUGAAGAGCAGAAAUUUAAGAGUUGCUCAUUUUACCAUCCCUUUUAAAAACUAAUUUAAUUUGUAAUUCUGAGAGCAACAUCAUACUAGGUCAUAGUAAGAGUUAGAAUCUCAAAGACAGUCACUUAUACCGUUUUAUCCAAUGCUGACUGCAAAAGCAAACAGCAUAGUGAAGACUAAAUCUACCACUCACAAGAGUCUACAGCACACAAGAGUUGCAAUAAGAAGGGAUGCCAACAACAUUCUGCUUUCAUACCACAUUAAGCCUCAUUGUUCUUUCCUAAACCUGCACUCUAACAAAGUAAGGCUUAAUACUUAGGCAAUUUCAGUAACUACCCAGAUUGCUUGCAAUAUAACUAUACUAGAACUCUCUUGAUUCUUAACAUUCAAGGAUAUUAAGUCUCCACAUCUCUGAGGAACAAAAGAUAGAUAAUGGUACUGGUUAAAAUUAAAAGUUUUAAAUCCACUAUCAAAAGCCCAAGGCAAUAUUAUGAGAGAUGCUGCUUUCACUGCACUCCUAGCUUUGUCUUGCAUGAUUAAAUGGCAUAUAAAAAUGAACAGCCUCAUGGGAGAGUUGGCUAGAAAAAGAGCUCUGGCCAGUUGCUUAGGAAAGGAGGAAGUAACUUAUAAUAAAACAUCUCAAUUUCUCUAUAAAGUAAUGCUCCCAAAUGAAAAGAGCAUCUGUCCAAGUGUCCAGAUGGUAUUUUAAGUAAUAAUGCAAAACACCUAAAUGCUAAAAAAGUUAUGAAAAUUUAAUACAUUUUCAUCAAGGAAAACCUAAUUCUAAAAUACAAGCAGAAAAAUAAGCAAGAAAGAACAGCCAAACAUGUAAUAAAGCCUCAGUUAAAAAGAAAGUAUGGUACUGGUACAUGGACAGAAAAAGAAAAGAGAAGAGAAAAGAAGAAAUUAAGUAAAGAAAAGAAAUCCCAGAGAAAGACCCAAAUAUACUUGGGAAUUCGGUUUAUAACUGCAAAGCCCCUUUUGCAUGACUACCAGCUGUGAUCUCAAGCACAGAUUGGCCUUCACACUUAACAAGAUCAAAAAGACCAUAGCCCGAAACCAGGCUGAUCAAACUCUGCAGAAGCAUACAGGAAAGGAAACAGUAGGCCAGCAUAGCAGCUUCAGGCAUGUUGUCUUCAGCAGGGAUCCUUACAGAAAUUCAGGAGAUUUCUAGCCCCCGAAACGAUAGCUCAGUUGUAAGUAAACAGGACCAGAUGGUUAGGUGCAGAACCUAAGCUUCAUGUGCAACAGGACAUCAGUAUCUUAUCAUAGCCCAUGACUGUAGCUUCCUGGUCCCUGCACAAGUCAAACUGCGCAGUCCUGUGCUACCAAAUAGAAAUUUACAGUCCAUUCAAAGUCCUCCCUAUCCAGAUGCAGUUCUAUUCAAGAUUCAAACUUACAAUGAGCAAUGUUGCCUAUAACACAGUGGACAUUACACCUUUAUCUUAACCAAAGAAACAGUGCUAGAAAGUCAUCUUCCCAUUGAGAAAGGAUUUUAAACCUGGUAACCCUUCUAAUUAGUAAGAGAAAGAUGUAUAAUUGUUCAAGUGGCUACUUGUAGCCAUCCAGAAAAAAAAUUAAGUUGUAUCACUAUAUACAACUUGGAUUUUAAAAUUACAGACAGGCUAAAAGUUAAAACGUAAAAGAUGAAACCAUGUAAAUACUAGAAAAACGGUUCUCAAAAUGUGUCCAGAGACCUAUGGAGAGCUCCAGGACCUUUUCAGGGGAUCUGCAGGGUCAAAAUUAAUUUUAUAAUAAAAAUCAAUAUUUUUUUAUAAUAAUACUAAGCCAUGUGACAUUUUCCAGAGGCUUGAUAUACUGUAUAAAAAAAUGUGUCAACAUUUGGAAGAUCUGCAUAAUUCAACAAACCAAUAUUUUCCAAAUGACCAAUGCAGAAGGUUACAAAAUCACACAAGACCAUUCAGCCAAUGGCUCUUAACAGACAGACCAACGGCUCUUAAUGUAACAGAGUAUGAGAAGUUCACUGAUAUAGUUUUCAGAUACCACACUAUAACUAACCUUUCUUAACCUUUAGUUUCUCAAACUACCACUUAAUGAGUUUUGGUGUAGUAUCAAAGAAGAAAAUCCCAAUAUGUGAAAAAGCUAUUAACAUACCUCUUUCUUUUCCAACUAUAUAAGAAAGGCCAGAUUUAUUUCAUUUACCAACACAACACUGCAACAGACUGAAUGCAGAAGCAUA